rnacentral:lncRNA from 1 species
GACCCGCUCGGCUCCCGCCUCGGAGCCGGGGGGCUGGGACGCCGCUCCCCGCAGCCAAUCAGCAACGGCCUGGAAGCGCUGGAGGGAGGAGUGGGGAUGCUCGGGAGGAGGGGGUCCCAGAGGCUCCUCGCGGAUCCAGUUUCUGGAGAGGAGAUGGAGUUAGACCUGGAAACCCCAGAGGAAGACGAGACUUUCACUGGACAUUUGAUGUGCGUUCUUCAGGACUGGUCACAUAAUUGCAGGGCCCGAGGCAAAAAUGAAAAUAUGGGGCCCCUUGUUCAAAAAUGAAGAAUUUCAAGGCAGCCACAGCAGAACGUGAAACCGAAUACGGAGCCUUUCUAAAUGAGACAGCACAGACCACAUGCCCUGAAGCUGGUCCUGCUUAGGGUGAAGAACCCUGUCUGGGGGACAAAGCCAUCAUCCAAGCUGCACCUGGACAAGUUUCCUCAAGAAGUGGAGAAAGUUGGCCAUGGAGAGGUGAAGCAAAAACGGCCACGGUCUGAGAAAAACGGAGGUGAGGGUUGGGGAGUGUGUGUGUGUGUGGUGGGUGUGUAUUUGUGCAUGGUAUGCACCUGAAUGUUUUUGUGUACACAUGCACAUGCCUGUGUGAUGUAUCUGUACAACUGUUGUAUAUAUAUAUUUUUGUCUUUUUAAGGCUGCAUUGCAGGUAUUUGGACGUUCCCAAGUGAGGGGUCAAAU